UACGUAGGGUGCGAGCGUUAAUCGGAAUUACUGGGCGUAAAGCGUGCGCAGGCGGUUUUGUAAGCCAGAUGUGAAAGCCCCGGGCUCAACCUGGGAAUGGCAUUUGGGACUGCAAGGCUUGAGUGCGGCAGGAGGAGACUGGAAUUCCUGGUGUAGCAGUGAAAUGCGUAGAUAUCUGGAGGAACACCGGUGGCGAAGGCGGAUCUCUGGGCCUGUCCUGACGCUGAGGCGCGAAAGCUAGGGGGAGCGAACAGGA
rnacentral:rRNA from 1 species